AUGAACGCUAGCUACAGGCUUAACACAUGCAAGUCGAGGGGCAUCAGUUUGGUUUGCUUGCAAACCAAAGCUGGCGACCGGCGCACGGGUGAGUAACACGUAUCCAACCUACCUCAUACUCGGGGAUAGCCUUUCGAAAGAAAGAUUAAUAUCCGAUAGCAUAUAUUUCCCGCAUGGGUUUUAUAUUAAAGAAAUUCGGUAUGAGAUGGGGAUGCGUUCCAUUAGUUUGUUGGGGGGGUAACGGCCCACCAAGACUACGAUGGAUAGGGGUUCUGAGAGGAAGGUCCCCCACAUUGGAACUGAGACACGGUCCAAACUCCUACGGGAGGCAGCAGUGAGGAAUAUUGGUCAAUGGACGCGAGUCUGAACCAGCCAAGUAGCGUGAAGGAUGACUGCCCUAUGGGUUGUAAACUUCUUUUAUAUGGGAAUAAAGUGGUCCACGUGUGGACUUUUGUAUGUACCAUAUGAAUAAGGAUCGGCUAACUCCGUGCCAGCAGCCGCGGUAAUACGGAGGAUCCGAGCGUUAUCCGGAUUUAUUGGGUUUAAAGGGAGCGUAGGCGGAUUGUUAAGUCAGUUGUGAAAGUUUGCGGCUCAACCGUAAAAUUGCAGUUGAUACUGGCAGUCUUGAGUGCAGUAGAGGUGGGCGGAAUUCGUGGUGUAGCGGUGAAAUGCUUAGAUAUCACGAAGAACUCCGAUUGCGAAGGCAGCUCACUGGAGUGUAACUGACGCUGAUGCUCGAAAGUGUGGGUAUCAAACAGGAUUAGAUACCCUGGUAGUCCACGCCGUAAACGAUGAGUGCUAAGUGUUGGAGGGUUUCCGCCCUUCAGUGCUGCAGCAAACGCAUUAAGCACUCCGCCUGGGGAGUACGACCGCAAGGUUGAAACUCAAAGGAAUUGACGGGGGCCCGCACAAGCGGUGGAGCAUGUGGUUUAAUUCGAAGCAACGCGAAGAACCUUACCAGGUCUUGACAUCCUCUGACAAUCCUAGAGAUAGGACGUCCCCUUCGGGGGCAGAGUGACAGGUGGUGCAUGGUUGUCGUCAGCUCGUGCCGUGAGGUGUCGGCUUAAGUGCCAUAACGAGCGCAACCCUUAUCUUCAGUUACUAACAGGUCAUGCUGAGGACUCUGGAGAGACUGCCGUCGUAAGAUGUGAGGAAGGUGGGGAUGACGUCAAAUCAGCACGGCCCUUACGUCCGGGGCUACACACGUGUUACAAUGGGGGGUACAGAAGGCCGCUACCUGGUGACAGGAUGCCAAUCCCAAAAACCUCUCUCAGUUCGGAUCGAAGUCUGCAACCCGACUUCGUGAAGCUGGAUUCGCUAGUAAUCGCGCAUCAGCCAUGGCGCGGUGAAUGCGUUCCCGGGCCUUGUACACACCGCCCGUCAAGCCAUGAAAGCCGGGGGUACCUGAAGUACGUAACCGCAAGGAGCGUCCUAGGGUAAAACUGGUAAUUGGGGCU
rnacentral:rRNA from 1 species